CAAGUCCCGUAGUGCGAGGCACGUCAAAUUGCAAAUUUGGAACAGUCACAUAAAAGUGGCCCGGACU
rnacentral:tRNA from 1 species